rnacentral:rRNA from 1 species
UUCCGGUUGAUCCUGCCGGACCUGACUGCUAUCGGAUUGGUACUAAGCCAUGCGAGUCGUUGUAGCAAUACAAGGCGGACGGCUCAGUAACACGUAGUCAACCUAACCUAUGGACGUGGAUAACCUCGGGAAACUGAGAAUAAACCGCGAUAGAUCAUUAUGCCUGGAAUGGCUUAUGGUUCAAACAAUUUAUUGCCGUAGGAUGGGACUGCGGCCUAUCAGCUUGUUGGUGAGGUAAUGGCCCACCAAGGCUAUAACAGGUACGGGCUCUGAGAGGAGAAGCCCGGAGAUGGGUACUGAGACACGGACCCAGGCCCUAUGGGGCGCAGCAGGCGAGAAACCUUAGCAAUGUGCGAAAGCACGACUAGGUUAAUCCGAGUGAUUUCUGUUGAAGAAAUCUUUUGUCAGUCGUAAAACCACAGACGAAUAAGGGGUGGGCAAGUCUGGUGUCAGCCGCCGCGGUAAUACCAGCACCUCGAGUGGUCAGGAGGUUUAUUGGGCCUAAAGCAUCCGUAGCCGGCUUUGCAAGUCUCCGGUUAAAUCCAGCUGCUCAACAGAUGGGCUGCCGGAGAUACUACAAAGCUAGGGAGCGGGAGAGGUAGACGGUAUUCGGUGGGUAGGGGUAAAAUCCACUGAUCCAUCGAGGACCACCAGUGGCGAAGGCGGUCUACCAGAACGCGUUCGACGGUGAGGGAUGAAAGCUGGGGGAGCAAACCGGAUUAGAUACCCGGGUAGUCCCAGCUGUAAACGAUGCAAACUCGGUGAUGCAUUGGCUUAUGGCCAAUGCAGUGCCGCAGGGAAGCCGUUAAGUUUGCCGCCUGGGAAGUACGGACGCAAGUCUGAAACUUAAAGGAAUUGGCGGGGGAGCACCACAAGGGGUGAAGCCUGCGGUUCAAUUGGAUUCAACGCCGGG